GAGAAUCACAGCGGUGCAACUCUGGAAGCAAGAAGACAAAGCAAUAGGUAAGGUCAAGAGACUGAAAGAAUGUGUCAUAUGGCAGUGUCCUCCAAGAUUGAAACACUCCAUCCUGUUGGGAAGCUCGACGAGAAAGAAGCUAUUUUCCUGGACCAGCUCUCUUCUCCAUAGUCGACAGUGUCUCUGGUGAGGAGGUGGCAUCUGGAAGUAGUCUACAAAGCAAGACUUCAGACCCAGGGUGAAAUCGAUGAGGAAGUCUCCGUUUCCAGAGGGCAGCUUGCCAGCUACAAUGGAAUGGCUGAAGUUGGGAGGCCACACAGGAAAGGCUCAGAAAGACAGGCGCUCCCCACCAAAGUGUUCUCACGCGAAACCUUAAUAAUUAAAAGAUCUUGGCAGAAAUCCCAGUGAGCUCAUGAGACAGGAGAGGUCCCAGCCCUGCCUGAUAGCUCUGGAAUGGAAAUGUCUCCUGCAGAGACUGAAGACCAGAAACCUGUACCUAUUUCCAGGGGCAAAAAUGAAGUUUGUCAUGGACUGUCUUUUCCCAAACAGAAAAUUCCCACUCUGUUACUUACUAACUGGGCAACCUCAGGUAAAUCACAGAAGCUUUUUGAACCACAAUAAAUAAUAGCUAACAAUAUCAUCAUUAUUGAAAAAUAACUGCCUCCUUAUAGGAUAAUUUAUAACUAAUCAUUAUGCCAUAGCACCAGGGUAGAUAGACUGUCUGCAGAGACCAAUGGGAAAUAUGUUAAACAUUGUGAAUCAGGAAGUAUAUUAUGUUUGCAAUGUGUUUAUAAUAUGCUAUAUGUAUAGAAA